rnacentral:tRNA from 1 species
GGUAGCGUGGCCGAGUGGUCUAAGGCGCUUGUUUAAGGCACCAGUCAUUUCGAUGGCGUGGGUUCGAAUCCCACCGCUGCCA